UACGUAGGGAGCAAGCGUUGUCCGGAUUUAUUGGGCGUAAAGAGCGCGUAGGCGGCCCGGAAAGUCGGAUGUGAAAACCCGGGGCUCAACCCCGGGCCUGCAUCCGAUACUCCCGGGCUGGAGGCAGGUAGGGGAGAUCGGAAUUCCUGGUGUAGCGGUGAAAUGCGCAGAUAUCAGGAGGAACACCGGUGGCGAAGGCGGAUCUCUGGGCCUGUCCUGACGCUGAGGCGCGAAAGCUAGGGGAGCGAACAGG
rnacentral:rRNA from 1 species